UCGACUCCGUCGAAUAAAGUUCUAGUUAAGUUAUGAUAAUGACAUUUCUUAACUAUGUGUCUUGACCAAAUCACGUGCCAGCAGUCGCGGUAAGACGUGGAAGGCUAGCGUUAUUCAUCUUUAGCAGGUUUAAAGGGUACCUAGACGGUAAAUCAAGCCCCAAAAGGGUACUAAUUUACUAGAGUUUAAUAAGAGAGGGGGAGUACUGGUGAGUGGAGAGAUGAAAUUCAAUGAUACCAUUAGGAACAGACAAGGGCGAAAGCGACCUUUUACAUAAAACUGACGUUGAGGGACGAAGGCUUUAGUCGUGAACAGGAUUAGAUACCCAAGUAAUUAAAGCAGACAAUGAUGAAUGUCAUAGAUUAGUAAGCAUUUACUUUUAAUAUAUUAAAAUUAAAAGUAAGUAUGCAUUUCACUUUAAUAUAUAAAGAAGGAAGCAGCACUUAAAGCCUUAUUUUCCAUAAAGAGAAAGUAAGCCAACAAGAUUUGCUUUAAGUGAGCAUCUACUAUUAAUCUAUAAAUGAAAGUGUAAGCAUUCCACCUCAAGAGUAAUGUGGCAACGCAGAAACUGAAAUCAUUAGACCGUUUCUGAAACCAGUAGUGAAGUAUGUUGUUUAAUUUGAUGAUCCGCAAAAGACCUUACCACAAUUUGUAUAUUAUUAUUUUUUUUUAAUAAUACAAGUGUUGCACGGCUGUCUUCAGUUAAUGUCGUGAGAUCAGGUUAGUUCCAUU
rnacentral:rRNA from 1 species